UCGGAACCGCGGCCGUGUCGUCCGCCUGCAGCCCGUCUCCAGGCUCCCGGCCAACCCCUGCUCGGGGCGCCGCCGCUGGGACGGCUCGGGCUCCGUCGCCGCCUCCUCUCUGGGCGUGCGUCCCGCCGCCCCGGCGAGUGUGCCGCUCGACCCGCCCCGGGCCUCUGGCCGGGAAAAGACGGUCCCCGAAUGCAGGGAAAGCCGGGGAUCCUGGAAGUCGUGGCUAGAGUCAAGGGCAACCAGGCUGCUGGAAUUGGGUCGAGAGAGUUCAUUCACUAAACAAUCGGGAACUUGAACUAAGAAUUCCCAAAAUGGGAGAGGAGAUGGUGAAGAAACAAACACCAUCAUCCCAGGCCCCUGCUUUUAAGGAGUGUGAAUAAAUGGUUAAUUGUACAUAAUGAAACCAUUAAGCAUUGCCUCACAUUUCCCUCUUUCUUCUCUUAUGUUCUGCAGCUGGGUUCUAGCUAACCUCAGAUUUCCUAAUAAAAAAAAACCUGGUAACUCCAA